rnacentral:rRNA from 1 species
UACGUAGGGGGCAAGCGUUGUCCGGAUUUAUUGGGCGUAAAGCGCGUGUAGGCGGCUAGGUAGGUCCGUUGUGAAAACUCGAGGCUCAACCUCGAGACGCCGGUGGAAACCAUCUAGCUAGAGUCCGGAAGAGGAGAGUGGAAUUCCCGGUGUAGCGGUGAAAUGCGCAGAUAUCGGGAAGAACACCCGUGGCGAAGGCGGUUGCCUGGGGCUUUGCUGACGCUGAGGCGCGAAAGCGUGGGGAGCGAUCCGG